GUAAUUUGAAAUGUUCUUCCCUUAGGUGUCCUCUUCUUUAUAGACUUUACUCCACUGAUGCAAUGCUCUGCAGUAGAGAGCAACUGUGAGCUGAGAGCAGCUGAUGGCACCAUAGAUGAAUUUCCAGGGAGCUCUUGAGUAGAAAGCAUCCCACUGAGCCACCCAGCAUGGUGCCUCCAGGAUUUGAGUUUUGACCUCCCUCAACUGGUGAGUGAUAGGAUCUUCCAGGCAUUACCAGGAUGCUAGACUUUACUCCACUGAUGCAAUGCUCUGCAGUAGAGAGCAACUGUGAGCUGAGAGCAGCUGAUGGCACCAUAGAGGAAAGGCAGUCAUGGACAACUAAUGAUGUUGGAAUUACAAAGCCUACACACUGGCCUCUAGCUGAAACCAUACUGUGGAGAAAUUCAUUGUGUAGCUGAGGAGUCUGAACGGAGCCAGAUUCCAGCUGAGACCACACUGCUGAUCAACUCGUUUCCAGCUCUCUCUGGCUUCCCUCACUCCCUUGCCAGUUUGUCCUGGCACCACUCCUUCAAUGAAUCCUUUCAAAGGAGCUUACUUGUGAGGCUUUAUACCUAAGAGCCAUCAUCCUGCUGGCAUCUGAGGAAGUGGAAGGCCACAAAGAGAAGAGCUACUCACCUGGGAAGAGUUGGGUUUGGAGAGAGAGACCAACCAGAUUGACACUGCCCCAGGCUGUGAAGAAACAACAAAAUGAAACAUCUAGCUCACCGAGUGGAAUUGAGGAGUUGGGAUAGCUUCCAUCAUAACAAGAAGUAAAAAGCUGAAAACUGAAAGUCAGCAGCUCUUCUGGAAUCUUGAGAUAACAUGUCAAGCCACUGCCCUCCAAAGCAAAGGUGGACGAGUAGAUACAGAGGUUCCCAGCUCCUGUGAACAGAAACCCCAAUGUCAGCCCUAGCCAGGAUCCAAAUGUGUAACUGAUGAAGGGCAAGAGGCUCGAUGGAUAAAGAACACAGAUGAGAUGCCUGGUAGUGUGACAACCACAGAAUGGCUAAGCAACAACGAAUUACUGAAAUUAAAGAAUCAGAGAGUAUCUUAUUAAACAAGAGCUGACAGAAGAUGAAAACAUUAAUCACCUAGAGCUAUUUACCUCCAUCUUCGAAGAAUUUCCUUCUACCCACGACACCAACCUGACCAGUAAAUAUUUGAAGAUUUUAUGUUCUGCCCCUGGAAUAGUUUAUGUCCUGCCAUUGUGAGCUGCCAACAGCACAUGGUAGACCACAAAAGAAAGGAAAAAGUCCAGUUCUACUGCUCCAGCUUGACCAAGUCAGUGGAGCAAUGCAUGCUCCAGAGGUUCUUGCAGGCUCUGAGCUAUACUCAGGCCAAGCUCAAUCAUUCUUGGGGUCCUUACCUGCCCUGCCACUUUCAUGUUUCUUUUCUUUUGAGAAGGCUUUUUUUUUUCCAGUAAGCCAGCUUGUCCGAAGCAUCUUCCUUAGGCUUUAUGACUGAGCAAGCUGAUAAAGGGAAGGCUCACUACAGGAGUCCAUCAUAAUUCCAGUGUUUUAAGUCACUGAGAAACUUCCUAAGUACAAUUAGUUUUAUUGGUGGCUUUACCAGUACCGCUAAAUAUGUCCAAAGCUUUAAAUGAACUGGUGAAACCUCUAUUUUCGUUUGAUUACAUUCAUAAUGCUAAUAUUUACAAUGGAAGGGAGCCUAGUCUACUGUGUGAUACUCCAUCAGAUGAUAUGAGAACUCCAGCACAGUGUCAUGUUGUUCUCUAAAUCUCCAUUUCACUUAAAACUUCAAACCACUUAGAAAUAGAAUGCUCAAACUAAGUAAAAUAUCUUUUCCUUAAGAUUAAUUUUUACUGCUACAUCAAUGAACAGAAUCAAGGAGCCACAGAUGGAAACGUGGUUUGGGAUUGUCAUAAAAUUGAUUUCAGGCUCAACAGGGGCAUGAACUCACUGAGAAAGUUCUCUGCAAUUUCAGCCAGGUGCCCAAAGGAAAUUAAUAUGUAGAUAUCAGAAAUAUAACGAGACUCCUAAUAGUAAGUCAGGCCCAGAAUUCUGGUGACAGAGUGAAUGACAAAGAGAUUCUAAUUAGGCAAAGGGAAGAAGACGAAAUGAGUGCACUCCCAGAAGGAUCUGGCUGGAAGAGGUUCUAUUCUUUGGCUUGGGUAUUGUACUCAAGGUCGGCUUUGUUCAUUUUGUCCUGGGAGAUAGAAAAGGGCUGGGUAGAGCUGUGUUUUUUUGGUGAUAUUAUCUGUGUUCUCUCUUCUUCACGUUUUAUGAAUUCAUGGGGAGCUGAAAUAUAAAUGGAGAAUAUUGAUCACGGUUUUAGAUUUACUAGAAAAACUGCCUAUGUGGCGUAAGGGGACGCCGCUGUUCGUCUUCCCUGUCACCAGGCUUCUGGGAGUUGGGCAAGUCUGUACGUGAGCUGGCAACCACACAGGGUAUAUUUCCUAAAUCUUUCACUGAUUUCUCUCUGCUCAGUCUCUUUCUGGGAAUCUUAAUCCCUUCAGCAAAUAUUUUAAAGCGUUCAUUAUAUCUAUGUACCGGUGAGAAUGUAGGCUCUGGGAAGGAACAAAAUGUACAAAUAGAACUUCAAAUCCAAAUGGAGAGAAAUGGAUGUGGAAAGACAUGAAUGUGAAAGGCCAUGCUUUAUAGGGAAGAAAAUCAUCUUUAACUACAGUGAUCCUUAGAGGGAAAAGUGGUAGCCAUUUCAAAUUAAUAUUCAUUAUGGUCCUAUGGACAGAAUUGUGUGAGCUCAUGUUACAGAAUGAAAAAACAAUGUCUUUAUGCACUAAUCCACUAUUCUAGUACCUUUAGACACUAAAAACAUUUCAUAAGGACUUUGAGCAUCCAAGGGGCAUUUUAUAGAAGCACCCAAGGAUUUCAAGAAACAAUGUGCUAAAUGGAAAAUGUUCUUCAUCACCCUCUAGGGAAAAGCCCCAAAGAUAGAUGAUGGUUUCUAUUUAUUAAACGAACACUGUUGCAAGUGAAGAAUCACAUUUUAAGAGGUCAAAGCUGUCAGGGUCAUGGUUUUCAAAAACUGUCAAAAGCAAGGAGAGAGAGAGAGGCAGAAAAUGGCUAAUCACAUUUACUGUCUUGGUCUCUGAGACUGAGAAAUAGGAAGAAGAAGCAAUGAUGAUGAGGAGAGAAUUGCAAAAAUAAAGAAGAAAGGCUGGCAAAGAGCUAGGAGAAAGGAUUUCUUAAUUUACUAUGGGCCUUAUGUUGUUAUGUGUUUGACUAUAUUUUCAAAUAGAAAAGCAGAAACUUCCAUCAGCUUCAAGGUGAAAGCAAGGUAGGUAUUCAAAAAACUAAAAGGCAUAACAAAUGCCAGAAUGUUUUCUUUCAGUCUUCUGUUUGAAAUUGGUAGCAGACUUCAAGAAUUUGGAUUUUAAAGCAAAAAAAAAAAAAAAAAAGCAUUAGGAAGGGUCUAGGCAUGCUUUGUUUACCAGCUAUUUAUUUAUAAGUCAAUAAAUAACACUAUGUCAGAAAACUAUGUGAGGCACCGAGGAUACGAGGUGUAUGAUUUAAACAGAGAACGAACUGAGUCUCUCUUAUUGACGCUAGUAAGAGUUACUAUCUUGUCAAGCUCUCUAUAUGUUCUUGUGGAGUCAGGAGAACCUUGUUACUGUUGAAGUGAGCAAGUAGGUGACAGAAGUUAAAUAAGUUGUCCCAAAUUUUCUCCAGCGGAGGCUGCUGACCAUUACGGUGUCUGUGCCCCAUUAAGAGUUGGGGAGUAGAAUGCACUUCUCAAGACUUCAAGCAUCAGGAAAGUUUUAGAUACUCAUGAAGGAUAGAUGGAUGGAAUAAUACAAGGGAUGCAGGAGGGCAGCAGCACACGUGAGUCACAGUCACUUGGUACUAGCACACUAAGCAAGUUGGCAGAAGGCAAGAGAGAACUGAAAAGCGAGCAAGCCAUGUUCUGCGAAGUCAGGUCAGUCUUGAUAAGACAUUAAAACUGAUAGAAGACUGGGGAGAUUCCACUUUACACCAGUCAGAAUGCCUAAAAUAAAAAACUCAGGUGACAGCAGAUGCUGGUGAGGAUGUGGAAAAAGAGGAGCAGUCCUCCAUUGUUGGUGGGAAUGCAAGCUGGUACAGCCCCUCUGGAAAUCAUCAGUUUGGCAGUUCCUCAGAAAGGUAGACAAAGUACUACCAGAAGAUCCAGCAAUACCUCUCCUGAGCAUAUACCCAGAAGAUAUUCCAACAUGUAAUAAGGACACAUGAUCCACCAUGUUCAUAGCAGCCUUAAUAAUAAUAGCCAAGAGCUGGAAAGAACCCAGAUGUCCUUCAACAGAGGAAUGGAUACAGAAUAUGUGGUAUGUUUACAUAAUGGAGUACUACUCAGCUAUUAAAAAUGAAUUCAUGAAAUUCUUAGGCAAAUGGAUAGAACUAGAAAAUACAAUUUUGAGUAAGGUAACCAAUCGCAAAAGAACACACAUGGUAUGCACUUACUGGUAAGUGGAUACUAGCCCAAAAGCUCCAAAAAACCAGGAUACAAUUCAUAGACCACAUGAAGCUCAAGAAGAAAGAAGACCAAAGUGUGGGUGCUUCGGUCUUUCUUAGAAGGAGAACAAAAUAGUCACAGGAGCAAAUAUGGGGAUACAGUAUAGAGCAGAGAUUAAUGGCCUCCGAGAGACUGUCCCAUCUGGGAAUUCAUCCCAUAUACAGUUACCAAACCCAGACACUAUUGUGGAUGCCAAGAAGUGUAUACUGAAAGGAGCCUGAUAUGGCUGUUUCUUGAGAGUCCCUGCCAAAGACUUACAAAUACAAAGGUGGAUGUUAGCAGCCAACCAUUGGACUGAAUGUGGGGUCCCUAAUAGAGGAGAUAGAGAAAGAGCUGAAGGACUUGAAUGAGUUUACAACCCCAUAGGAAGAACAACAAUAUCAGCCAACCAGACCCCCCCCCCCCCGAGCUUCCAGGGUCUAAGCCAUGACAAAGGAGUACGCAUGGCUCCAGCUGCAUAUGUAGCAGAGGACGGCCUUGCCAGGCAUCAAUGGGAGGAGAGGUCCUUGGUCCUAUGAUGGCUUGAUAGAAGCCUCAGUGUAGGGGAAUUCAAAGGCAGGGAGGUGUUAGUGGGUGGGUAGGUGGAGGAACACCAUCAUAGAAGCAGGGGGAGAAAAAAAUGUGAUAGGGUGUUUCCAGGAGGGAGGGAAACCAGGAAAAGGGAUAACAUUUGAAAUGUAAAUAAAUAAAAUAUCCAAUAAAGAAAAACAAAAAGAUUGAUAGAAGACAUGGCUGCACAAUCCAGGUCCCACAGAAGCAAUCUUUGAAAUAAGAUUUUACAAGAAAAUGAUAUAGUAAGAAAAUACUUCCAGGUAAAACAAUGGAGAAAGAGGAAAGAAUGAGAGCUGACAAUGUAAGUCUUCAGAAAAAAAAAGUCCUGGUCUUGGUCCUAUUUCAUGGGGAAACUCUGGAGCUUAAAUUAUAACUUGGAGUCAAUUUUGCAUCAAGGCAUCAAACCAUCUGGGGCUCCUAUUCACACUCCUGUGAGCAAAGAGUUGCAUGCUGCCUUGGGGAAAUGGAAAUUCCCAGAGAUUUCUGGUUCUUUGUGACUAUGGGAAAAGUACUCUAGCUCAGUGCAGAGCUUAACCUGUGUUAGAAAAGUGGGCAUAUCUGGUGAAUAGUACACAGUAUAUAGGCUGUACAUAACUUCUACAGUUAAUACAACUGUUGCCAUUGGAAAUGGGCCAUUCAGACAUUGAAAUGUUUGAAUUGAACAAUAUUUAUGUCUCUGAAAAACAGUAUAGGGGGUGAUAGGACCAUAAGCAGAGUUGAAAGACGCAUAGAAAAACAGAAUACCAGAGAGAAAUCAGUACAAUUAGAAAUUAUGCACAAUGAUGACUAUAGACAUUUACACGUGCCUAUGUAAGAAGCAUGGCCAACCCAGAAUCUUCCUGUCGUGACUCCAAGUAGACACUGCUUUCUAUCUUCUCAGUUUUCACCCCACACUUGCAAUGUAAGUGACAUACUCUGCUCUAACCCAAAGUUGAAUAAAAGCUGGUUCUUAAUCACUGAAUUUUUUUUUUUUAUGUGAGUAUGCCUUCUUUGAAGUCAGCUGUGAGUGGGAAACUAGAACCAAAGAUAUAAGUAGAGGCUGGCCACUUAGAAACCUGCUGCAUAAAGACACAUAGAUGUCUGUCUUUGCUCUCACUUUUACAAAUGAUGGCCAGAAGAGGAAAGACCCAAAGGAAACUGUAAACUGUAGGCAAACAAAUGGAAAGGUCCUGGAUCACAGGAUAACUGUGUGCUCAACUCCACCUUUCCCUGUUCCACCCAUCAUUUCCAUGACAACAUCAACAGGAAAGGAACCUGUAGUUUGACCUGAUUUAAACCAUUAUUUCCUCCUGCAGUCUCUCCUAGAAAAAAAUAUGUAAAAUUCUUACUCAAAUCUAGUGCUUUGGAAACACUUUUUAGAUUUCAAACUAAUAAAUCAUAGUUUUGUUUAUUUAUGGAGUACAGCCUGAUGCUAUACUUCCAGAAGACAAAAUUUACUCCCUACAGAACAACAUGAACUGGGACUAAGAGGGGCAUUCUCAUUCAAACUGCCACGUUGCACUCCCAGGCUCCCAUUGACUUUGGUCACAUCAUAACACAAAAUGCAUGCAGCCCAACUUCAAAAGUUCUUGGUCUUUUACAGUCUCAACACUGUUUACAAGUCCAAAAUCCAAAGUCUCUUCUGAGUCUCAAGGCAAUCUCUUAGUUGUGACUUCCAGUAAAAUAAAAAAAAGCAUGCUGCACACUUCCAACAUACCAUGACAGAGAAUAUACAUUUUCAUUUCAAAAUGGAGGAAUAAGGGCAGAGCUCAGAAAUUCUAUACCAAAGAUGUCUUUGUCAAGUAUCAAAGUGCUUAGAUGACUUCACUCCUCUAGCUUUGCUGCCUGCAGCAUCUAUCUCUCUCUUUGACUAGUUCCACUCCUUUUAUGUGGCAAUCAUUAACAGAUAUUCCAUGGCUCUGGUGUCUAUAUCUGUGGUCUCUGCUACAACCAAGCUUCAUUUGCAGAACUUCACAAAAUGACCUCUCAGGGCCACCUACCCUUUCUUCCACUUUAAAAAGGGACUCCCUGCUAUGCAUUGUGUGACCUCGAUGACCCUCUGGAAUUCUGGCAAAAGAAUCCAUACCUCCUUCUCUACUGUAUUUCUACAUACCUCCAAAGCCAGCACCUUGUAGAUGAUGUUGUCAAGUUUGGAUGACAUUAGCAAAAGGCUUUUAUUCAAUUGCUUUCUAGGAGCAGAAAAGACUCUUUAACAAGGAAACUUAACUGGGUGGAAUCUUGCUCCAAGGGUACACUUUCCUCUAUCCCAGUUCAGAGCAGAAAUGGCACUUACCUUAUUACAUCUUUCAGCACAAGCUAUAGCUACAACAUUACAUUUUGUAGUAUUUUUUUCCCUACUCCUUUACCCUGUUCUUUUUUUUUAAAUUUUAUUUUAGG